CUUGAAAUGACUCCGUUUUAGUCUUUUGAUAUAAUAAAAUUUAUGUUAUCUUUGAAAGGUGUGUAUAAUUCAAUUUAAUUUUGGUGGACUUGUUGCUUAAUAAAGAAGGUCUCCAUUAUCAGAAAGACAGAGGGGAUAGAUGAGAGCGUGAGAAGCAGGGAGAUCUGAUCAUUAUUAGGGCAUUGGUGAAGUGAUAGAGGGGAGAUUGUCGGUGUAGAUGAGAAAGGAAGAUUGGGAAGAUAAGAGGGAAGGGAGGAUUGCAGGUACCCAACCUCACCACAAAGCGUGUGCAUUCUACAUACCUAUGGAAACUCCUCCAUAGUAGCAAACCUGUUGGACAAUAUCACUCUAGCCACCGACUCUGUCCCUGGCUACAAUUUUGGUUGCAUGCAAAAGCUGCAGGCAGCUUGCUACCUCUCAUCUUACUUGCUUCAUAUCCAGAGACGAAGUAAUGCUACUGCAGAAGAAAAUAAGAAGAAUAGAAGAAAUGGUGUUCAAUAGCUCACGUAUCAGUCGACGCAUGGCGACAAAUAGCUCGCAUUCAACUCCAAGACCGUCUAAGUAGCCACCGCCUUGAUUGCAUGUGUUGCUUUCCCCUCUAGCAAUUGAUCGAUUGAUGAUGGGUUUCCUUCUCCUAUUUUAGUCCUUUGUGUACGACAACUCUCUUUCUUUCUCUUCGUCUUUGAACUUUGAUUCCCUUUUCACUUUUUUUUAUUCAUUUAAUUUUUAAGUAUUGCUACUCUUUAGUAAAGUCAUUUAAAACUUUUUAUUAAGUAUUGCCUACUCUUUGAAUAUCUUGAGCACCUGAUUUUUUACCUUUUAUUUUCUUUUUCAUAUAUUGUUGAUUAUCAUGUUUGAACUGUGUUUUGGAGUCCAUUAAUUUUUUGGACAGUUGGAGUCCCUAGCUUAUAGGAAGAUAUACUUUGAAGAGUCUUUUACAACUGCAAGCACAUAUCAAUUAGAGGCACUU
rnacentral:misc_RNA from 1 species